GCCGAAGUGGCGGAACGGUAGACGCGCUACGUUCAGGGCGUAGUGGGCAACAGCCCGUGUGGGUUCAAAUCCCUCCUUCGGCA
rnacentral:tRNA from 1 species